AUUGAACGUUGGCGGCAUGCCUUACACAUGCAAGUCGAACGGCAGCACGGGAGCAAUCCUGGUGGCGAGUGGCGAACGGGUGAGUAAUGUAUCGGAACGUACCUUUCAGUGGGGGAUAACGUAGCGAAAGUUACGCUAAUACCGCAUAUUCUGUGAGCAGGAAAGCAGGGGAUCGCAAGACCUUGCGCUGAUUGAGCGGCCGAUAUCAGAUUAGCUAGUUGGUGAGGUAAAGGCUCACCAAGGCGACGAUCUGUAGCGGGUCUGAGAGGAUGAUCCGCCACACUGGGACUGAGACACGGCCCAGACUCCUACGGGAGGCAGCAGUGGGGAAUUUUGGACAAUGGGCGAAAGCCUGAUCCAGCCAUGCCGCGUGAGUGAAGAAGG
rnacentral:rRNA from 1 species